GCCGCCGUCGAAGGUUAGCCGUCCUAUCCAAUUUUCUUUUGAGAACCAUGGAUUUUGACUUGUCGCGCUUUGUGCCUUGUUUGAGAGACGAUGUUUGAGCGGGUUUUGUGAGAGGGACGAGAGCUUGAGAACACGCGAUUGAGAGAGGGUUUGGUGUGAUUGAAGUUGAGAGUGACGCGGUUGAGAGAGACUCGUUGGGAGAGUGAGUGAUUGAGUGAGGUUAGAGAUUGAGAGAUAAGUGUGAGUGAGUUUGAAUGGUGGAGUGAGAGAGAGUGAUACCGAGAGGGAGAGAUACAUUGAGCUUCUGUUACGUUUU
rnacentral:lncRNA from 1 species